GUUUUUGAUAAUGUGUCAGGAUUUGGUUCCUGUUUACCUAAAUCAAAGAAGAUAAGGUUUCUUGUGAAGGCUGCCAUGGAUGUUUACAUAACAUACCUCAUGAUUCUGGAAAUGAGUACUGCUUCCUGCUCAAGACUGAAAAGAAGAAAUGGGAUACGUAGUGUUCAUACGCACUAAAAUAACUGCAACAGUCUCUCCAUACAAAGUGUUGCAGCUUCUGAAGAAUUCUUCUCAGAUGUGGAGUGAAGAUCUUAUAAAAAGCAUAUUGGGAAUGUUCAGAACAGGACCAAGCAUAAAAACAGUUUCUACAUUUCCUACCACACAUGGGCCAUGUCAACUGUGGUAAGAGUAAGUGUUGGUCCCAGCAUAUAAGCCCCCUUUCUUCUUCUUAAAAAAAAUAGUGAAGUCAUCUUUUGUACAUUGUGCCAACUGCUAGGAAGUUUUCAUUAGAAACAUUACUUUAGUUUUUGCUCUCAAAGAACUGCAACAUUAACAAAUUGCAAGAGUAAUAUAAAAAUAUUUAAAUAAUGAUCAAGAUGAAAGCAAAGGGUAGGUUAAUUACCUAUAGGGUAGGAGGAAACUGGUUUUUCACAAGACAUGCAUUAACUCAGCAUUCAUGAGUUUGAAUUCUAACUCUGACAUUCACUA
rnacentral:lncRNA from 1 species